UACGUAGGGUCCGAGCGUUGUCCGGAAUUACUGGGCGUAAAGAGCUCGUAGGUGGUUUGUCGCGUUGUUCGUGAAAACUCACAGCUCAACUGUGGGCGUGCGGGCGAUACGGGCAGACUUGAGUACUGCAGGGGAGACUGGAAUUCCUGGUGUAGCGGUGAAAUGCGCAGAUAUCAGGAGGAACACCGGUGGCGAAGGCGGCCUGCUGGGCAGUUGCUGACACUGAGGCGCGACAGCGUGGGGAGCAAACAGG
rnacentral:rRNA from 1 species